rnacentral:rRNA from 1 species
AUUGAACGCUGGCGGCAUGCCUUACACAUGCAAGUCGAACGGCAGCACGGGAGCAAUCCUGGUGGCGAGUGGCGAACGGGUGAGUAAUAUAUCGGAACGUGCCCAGUCGUGGGGGAUAACGCAGCGAAAGCUGUGCUAAUACCGCAUACGAUCUACGGAUGAAAGCGGGGGAUCGCAAGACCUCGCGCGAUUGGAGCGGCCGAUAUCAGGUUAGCUAGUUGGUGGGGUAAAAGCCCACCAAGGGGACGAUCUGUAGCUGGUCUGAGAGGACGACCAGCCACACUGGAACUGAGACACGGUCCAGACUCCUACGGGAGGCAGCAGUGGGGAAUUUUGGACGAUGGGCGCAAGCCUGAUCCAGCAAUGCCGCGUGCAGGAUGAAGGCCUUCGGGUUGUAAACUGCUUUUGUACGGAACGAAACGGCUCUUUCUAAUAAAGAGGGCUAAUGACGGUACCGUAAGAAUAAGCACCGGCUAACUACGUGCCAGCCGCCGCCGUAA